rnacentral:rRNA from 1 species
AUUGAACGCUGGCGGCAUGCUUUACACAUGCAAGUCGAACGGCAGCGCGGGCUUCGGCCUGGCUGCGAGUGGCGAACGGGUGAGUAAUGCAUCGGAACGUGCCCAGUAGUGGGGGAGAGCCCAGCGAAAGCAGGAUUAAUACCGCAUACGACCUGAGGGUGAAAGCGGGGGACCGAAAGGCCUCGCCCUAGUGGGGCGGCCGAUGUCGGGCUAGCUAGUUGGUGGGGUAAAGGCUUACCAAGGCGACGAUCCGUAGCUGGUCUGAGAGGACGACCAGCCACACUGGAACUGAGACACGGCCCAGACUCCUACGGGAGGCAGCAGUGGGGAAUUUUGGACAAUGGGGGCAACCCUGAUCCAGCCAUGCCGCGUGCGGGAAGACGGCCUUCGGGUUGUAAACCGCUUUUGUUCGGGAAGAAAUCCUCUGGGCUAAUACCCCGGGGGGAUGACGGUACCGGAAGAAUAAGCACCGGCUAACUACGUG